GGAGAGGUGUCCGAGUGGUCGAAGGAGCUGGUCUCGAAAUCCAGUACACCUUAGGGUGUCGUGGGUUCGAAUCCCACCCUUUCCG
rnacentral:tRNA from 1 species